GAUAUGAUCCGUUCAACUUCAAUCUAACCAAAUUUGAACAUAAUACUAAAAAAAAAAGGAACAGAAAACAAAUGAAAUUACUACCAUCACCUGUUACUUUGCCGCUAUCGCCUUCCAAUGAUACUCAUAUAUUUACCCACAAAUGUUAGUGAAUUGGAAAAUUAAGAAGUGUGAAAGUAAUUGAGCAGCAACCGAGAAAGAGAGGAAAAUGAAGGGGGGAAAAAGGAGGUAUGAGCAAGAUUGAUUGAAAAAACAUAUCUAGAGCUUGAACACACAGCAACAAAAGUGCAAACAUCCUUGAAACUCGAGAGCAAGAACAGUAGCGAGGAGAAAUCCACUGAAAGUAAAAAAAAAAGAAAGGAACCUACGAAAAUUCAAUUACAUUCAUACCUUUAGCGUGUGAAAGACAUAACAGCCAACAUGAUGAACCACUUUCCUUGCUGCAGCAAAAGAAGGGAAAAAAAUCAAGUACUCCAUAUAAAAUGACUCGAGACAAACAUCAAAUAAAUGCGAGUCCACAAUCCACUUCUAAAUUUCAGUCAUUUUUUAUAGCUUAAAUUUUGCCACAUGACGAUGUAAUUAUGCACUUAUUAGAUAAUAACAAUGAAAAAAUUAAUCAAAGAGACAUAACGCAUAUGUAGAUCAAGUAAAAUAACUAAAAUAUGUACUUGAAAUUCUGGCCAGAAAUUAUAUUAAAAAACAAUAAGAAAGUAAAAAAUAUACAAAAUAUACCAAAUUAGUAGCGAUAAUAAUAAAGCAAGAUCAGAAAAAAUCCGUCCAAUUCUUACCAAACAAUAGCCUGAAUCUCGGAGGUUUGUAGAGAGGAUUAGUAAACAGUGAAGAAAAAAGAUGUUAAGGCAUAGUCAUUCUUGAUAUCUAAGAUUUUUGUGAGACAGUCUAACUUCUGCACUAAUUAAUUGUCUAUAUAGAGAUUAAAUUCAUCAAAUAAAUACAAUGCAUGUGCAAAUGAAGCAGUUAGUAACAUACAUGUAGAAAUCUUUAGCUAGAAACUAUAUUCAAAAGAGUAGGAAACUAAGGUCCACAUACCAAAUUGUGAUUACUUUUAAUUACUGAAUCUCAAAGAACUGAAGAGACCAUCAGGCAUGACCUCGUAAAAACUAAUAAGAGCAAACAAAAAUGAGACUUGAAGAAACAAAAAGGUAGACACGUGUCCAAGAAGAAACAAAUCAUGGGACUACAAUUAAAGUGCAAUACACGUGUCUACUUGAGAAGCUAAGAAAAAUUAAAUCGUUGAUAAUACAACUAUCAACUUACGUAACUUUGUGUACAAUUAUGUGAUGCAGAGUUCGUCCCAUGCUUGUUUCAUGACUUCAAGCUUGUCCCAAUUUGUAGAUGUAGAUGAAGUUAAGCCCAUGAGUCAUCCGUCUUCUCUCCCUCGAUAUGUAGUUUUCCUUUUUUUAGAAGAAAAUCAAUGGGAGCAAAACUGAACACGUGUAACUAUUUCACAUUUCAAUAAGCUAUAGAGAGUAAAUGUUGAAUCUCUAACAUUCUAAUACUUCUAAAGUACAAAAUCAGCAC
rnacentral:lncRNA from 1 species